GAUGAACGCUGGCGGCGUGCUUAACACAUGCAAGUCGAACGGAAAGGCUCCUGCUUGCCGGGGUACUCGAGUGGCGAACGGGUGAGUAACACGUGGGUGAUCUGCCCUGCACUUCGGGAUAAGCCUGGGAAACUGGGUCUAAUACCGGAUAGGACGAUGGUUUGGAUGCCAUUGUGGAAAGUUUUUCGGUGUGGGAUGAGCUCGCGGCCUAUCAGCUUGUUGGUGGGGUAAUGGCCUACCAAGGCGUCGACGGGUAGCCGGCCGGCGAGGGUGUACGGCCACAUUGGGACUGAGAUACGGCCCAGACUCCUACGGGAGGCAGCAGAGGGGAAUAUUGCACAAUGGGCGCAAGCCUGAUGCAGCGACGCCGCGUGGGGGAUGACGGCCUUCGGGUUGUAAACUCCUUUCGCUAGGGACGAAGCGCAAGUGACGGUACCUGGAGAAGAAGCACCGGCUAACUACGUG
rnacentral:rRNA from 1 species